rnacentral:rRNA from 1 species
GUUGUAUGGUUAAGUGACUAAGCGUACACGGUGGAUGCCUUGGCAGUCAGAGGCGAUGAAAGACGUAGUAACUUGCGAUAAGCCCAGAUUAGGUAGUAACAACCAUUUGAGACUGGGAUUUCUGAAUGGGGAAACCCACGUGCAUAAGCACGUAUC